rnacentral:rRNA from 1 species
UUUUGACCUCGGAUCAGGUAGGGAUACCCGCUGAACUUAAGCAUAUCAAUAAAGCGGAGGAA